AUAUGCUUGUCCCGAAGCUUAAGCCAUGCAUGCGUCCGAAUAACGAGGCGUAUCUCAGAAUCUGCGAACGGCUCCGUAUACCUGUCACCACCCACCUCCCGCAAGCAUUGUAUGCGGGAAAACCUCGGUAAUUCUAUGGCUAAUACGUAUGACUGAUGGGGCCGGCUGGGCGCAAGCCCGGCCGGUUAUAUGCUUGACCUAGGCGACGCCGCGCGACCAACGGCGGGGCCCCCCGGGGCCCUGUUGGCGGGAGUGCCGGUGAUCUGCACCUGAACCGCGGGUAGGUAAGACCGCGGCCGGGCGCAGAUGGGCGCCAGACCUAUCAACUAGAUGCCCGGGGAGCUCCCGGGCAGGGUGGUAACGGGUACAGAGGAUCAGGGUUCGGUCCUGGAGAGGAAGCCUUAGAGAUCGCUUCUACUUCUAAGGAAGGCAGCAGGCGCGCAACGUUCCCAAUGGGGAGUCCCUGAGGACGUGAGGGGACAUACCGAUGCCUGGCCCAGAAAGCCGGGCAAUCGGAAUGGGGGCCAGCCAAACCCCACACCGAGUAACAAUUGGAGGACAAGUCUGGUGCCAGCACCCGCGGUAAUUCCAGCUCCAAUGGCAUCUUAUUAAGUUGUUGCAGUUAAAACGCUCGUAGCCGCAUGCGGCGCGCUGUGCCUUGCGUCUAGUAGCGGGGGACUCCCCGGGGCCCCCCUCCCUAGGUGGGAGGGGCUCUGCCCUGGGCCCCCCGUGACCGGCGCCGGGCCGCGCGCCCUUGCUCGCGGGGGCCAAGGGCGUGUCCGGCGCUUUAGUGGGCCGGCCGACCCUCCCCGCACCGUACUUUGACCAAAUGUAAGUGCUCCAGGCAGGCCGAUCCCAGGGUACGGCCCCUGAAACCCGCAGCAAAGAAUACCGGAACAGGCACCCGUGCCUGGGCCGUUGGUAGGCGGGGUGAAUGAUCUCGUGGGGCGAUCGGGGCGGGCCAUAUGGCAGGGGUAGGGGUGAAAUCCGUUGAUCCUUGCCAGAUGAUCUAACGCGCAAGCAGCCCGCUAGUACGCUUUCUCAGGUCAAGAACGAAAGUCUGGGGAUCGAAGAUGAUCAGAUACCAUCGUAGUCCAGACCCUAAAUGAUGCCGACCAUGGAUGGGCACUCGUCCAUCCCGACCCGGCCCGCACGUCCUGGGAAACCUCGAGUGUGUGGGCUCCGGGGGGAGUAUGGUCGCAAGACUGAAACUUAAAGGAAUUGACGGAAGAGCACACAAGGAGUGGAGCCUGCGGCUUAAUUUGACUCAACACGGGGAAACUCACUAGGGCAGGAGGGGGGUAUGACGGACGGCUGAGCAGGGCCUUCUCGAUUCCCCCAGUGGUGGUGCAUGGUCGUUCUUAGUUCGUGGAUUGAUUUGUCUGGUCUAUUCCGCUAACGAGCGAGAACCCGCCCUCCCGAGGUUAGGCAGCUGGGCAUGCCAGGGCUGCUUCGGCGGCCCAGGCUGAAAACGCCUGGGGGCUCGGUCUAGGGGGAGCGCCUCCGAGAAGGAGGCGGCAGCGGGUCAAUAACAGGUCAGUGAUGCCCUUAGAUGCUCUAGGCCGCACGCGCGCUACAAUGGGGCGGUCGGCGGGUUCCUGUGCCGACAAGGCGGCGGGGAAUCCGGCUAACUCGCCUCGUAUCCGGGCCAGUGCCGUGCAACACGGCCCUCAAACAAGGAAUUUCUAGUAGUCACGGGUCACCAGCCCCUGACGAUUC
rnacentral:rRNA from 1 species